rnacentral:rRNA from 1 species
CAGCCGCCACGGUAAUACGAAGGGUGCAAGCGUUAAUCGGAAUUACUGGGCGUAAAGGGUGCGUAGGCGGUUGUUUAAGUCUGUUGUGAAAUCCCCGGGCUCAACCUGGGAAUGGCAAUGGAAACUGGACGGCUAGAGUGUGUCAGAGGAUGGUGGAAUUCCCGGUGUAGCGGUGAAAUGCGUAGAGAUCGGGAGGAACAUCAGUGGCGAAGGCGGCCAUCUGGGCCAACACUGACACUGAGGCACGAAAGCGUGGGGAGCAAACAGGAUUAGAUACCCCCGUAGUCCCUGUCUCUUAUAC